rnacentral:rRNA from 1 species
AUUGAACGCUGGCGGCAGGCCUAACACAUGCAAGUCGAGCGGAUGAAGGGAGCUUGCUCCUGGAUUCAGCGGCGGACGGGUGAGUAAUGCCUAGGAAUCUGCCUGGUAGUGGGGGAUAACGUCCGGAAGCGGGCGCUAAUACCGCAUACGUCCUGAGGGAGAAAGUGGGGGAUCUUCGGACCUCACGCUAUCAGAUGAGCCUAGGUCGGAUUAGCUAGUUGGUGGGGUAAAGGCCUACCAAGGCGACGAUCCGUAACUGGUCUGAGAGGAUGAUCAGGCACACUGGAACUUAGACACGGUCCAGACUCCUACGGGAGGCAGCAGUGGGGAAUAUUGGACAAUGGGCGAAAGCCUUAUCCAGCCAUGCCGCGUGUGUGAAGAAGGUCUUCGGAUUGUAAAGCACUUUAAGUUGGGAGGAAGGGCAGUAAGUUAAUACCUUGCUGUUUUGACGUUACCAACAGAAUAAGCACCGGCUAACUUCGUG